CGCGGGGUGGAGCAGUGGUAGCUCGUCGGGCUCAUAACCCGAAGGCCGGGGGUUCGAAUCCCUCCCCGCUACCA
rnacentral:tRNA from 1 species